AAUGCCCCCCUUUGCUCCUGACAUUAUGUUCAGCCUAUUGACCCCUGCACACCUAACACAAGGUUGAGGUUUCAACUGAAGACUCCAAACAACUUCAAAGGCCAGGAAAACAUCCAGAGUACCAAGGACAACAACCACCUGUAAAAGAAAAAUAAAGUAUAUCAAACAGG